AGGACGAACGCUGGCGGCGUGCUUAACACAUGCAAGUCGAGCGGUAAGGCCCUUUCGGGGGUACACGAGCGGCGAACGGGUGAGUAACACGUGGGUGACCUGCCCUUAGCUCUGGGAUAAGCCUGGGAAACUGGGUCUAAUACCGGAUAUGACUCCACGGUGCAUGUCGUGGGGUGGAAAGCCUUGUGCGGCUGAGGAUGGGCCCGCGGCCUAUCAGCUUGUUGGUGGGGUGAUGGCCUACCAAGGCGACGACGGGUAGCCGGCCUGAGAGGGCGACCGGCCACACUGGGACUGAGACACGGCCCAGACUCCUACGGGAGGCAGCAGUGGGGAAUCUUGCGCAAUGGGCGAAAGCCUGACGCAGCGACGCCGCGUGAGGGAUGACGGCCUUCGGGUUGUAACCUCUUUCAGCUCCGACGAAGCGAAAGUGACGGUAGGAGCAGAAGAAGCACCGGCCAACUACGCGCCAGCAGCCGCGGU
rnacentral:rRNA from 1 species